rnacentral:rRNA from 1 species
CUUGGUGUUACUGCGAAGGGGGGACGGAGAAGGCUAUGUUAGCCGGGCGACGGUUGUCCCGGUUUAAGCAUGUAGGCUGGUUGUCCAGGCAAAUCCGGAUAAUCAAGGCUGAGGUGUGAUGACGAGGCACUACGGUGCUGAAGUAACAAAUGCCCUGCUUCCAGGAAAAGCCUCUAAGCAUCAGGUAACAUCAAAUCGUACCCCAAACCGACACAGGUGGUCAGGUAGAGAAUACCAAGGCGCUUGAGAGAACUCGGGUGAAGGAACUAGGCAAAAUGGUGCCGUAACUUCGGGAGAAGGCACGCUGGUGUGUAGGUGA